AGAUCUUGUAUCAUCAAUGUCAAGCACAUAAAUGAAAGAAAGGAGGAUGAGGACCUACGAAUUAUGGUAGUGAAGUUGAAUAACUAGAAGAAGAGAUUGAGAGAUUAAGUUUUUCUUUUUUUUAUUUUAUUUUAAAUAGGACCCACAUUUAUAAUUAAAAAUUAUUUUUAAUUAAAUAAUUGAUGCCACAUCAGCAAGUAUUAAUGGUGUUAUUUUAUGUGGUAACAUAAGAGAAAAAAAUCUGUUAGGAAAUUUAAAACUUGCAAUGAGGUAAAACUUCAUCUUAUUUUAUCGUGACAGGCAAAAGAACAAACCUCUUUUACAGAAAUAUGCAAUGAUAGUUGUUCCUGGUAUCAUCAAUAAUAAUCCAUUCAAAAUAAAAGAUCAGGGUAAGUGGGUAAGGAUGAGAGUGAGAAAGAGAUUGUAAGAUUAAGGGAAACAAAUUUUGUCACCUCACACGAGAAUUUAAUGUUUUUGAAUAAUAGCCGUGGUCAAGGUAUGCUAUUGACCAACAAUUGGUAAUUACUGCCUAUGGAUCAAGUUGGAACGCCAGGAGAUCAAAAUACAAACCAUUAUCUAUCGACUCCAGAGAAAAAGCCAAAAGUUUACAUUUCAGUUUUCCAGAUUACUUUGAAGUUGAAGAUUAAAUAAACUAAGAGCUAAGAAACCAAGAAAGGUUCAAUACAAGUCCUGUAAGCGGCAGAGGGUGGUGAUAACAAUCAUAUAUGUUGAAACUUGGACAAAUAUCAACAGACUUUAGCAAAGAUUAAAGAAUGAGCACAACAAUCCAAAACCAGAAACUAAUCUCUCUGAUAAAGCGGAAAAAUGCCCACAAUCCAUAAGUCUAUGUCUGUCAAUUUUGUAUUAAAAGAACUAACCAAAUCAGGAAGGAAACUUGCCUUAUAAAAUGAAGUGAAAAACAA
rnacentral:misc_RNA from 1 species